CCUAGUAACGGCGAGUGAACCGGGAAGAGCUCAAAUUUGAAAUCUGGCAGUCUUCGAUUGUCCGAGUUGUAAUCUAUAGAAGCGUUUUCCGUGCUGAACUGUGUAUAAGUCCCUUGGAACAGGGUAUCAAAGAGGGUGACAAUCCCGUACUUUACACAAUCAUCAGUGCUCUGUGAUACGUUCUCUACGAGUCGAGUUGUUUGGGAAUGCAGCUCAAAAUGGGUGGUAAAUUCCAUCUAAAGCUAAAUAUUGGCGAGAGACCGAUAGCGAACAAGUACCGUGAGGGAAAGAUGAAAAGCACUUUGGAAAGAGAGUUAAACAGUACGUGAAAUUGUUGAAAGGGAAACGAAAUUCAUGAAUCAUGUUUAUUGGACUCAGCCGUUCUUCGGUGUACUUCCUUUAAACGGGUCAACAUCAGUUUUGUCCGAUGGAUAAAGGUAGUAGGAAGGUGGCUCUCUCGGGAGUGUUAUAGCCUAUUGCUGCAUACAUUGGAUGAGACUGAGGACUGCAGCUUGCCUUUAUGGCCGGGGUUCGCCCACGUUCAAGCUUAGGAUGUUGACAUAUUCUCGAAUCACGA
rnacentral:rRNA from 1 species